GCUCCUCAGGGGGUAUUGUUACAUAUUGUCAGACCAAGCAACUAGGUGAUAUGACUCUACCACUUGUGCUCUGCCCAAUAAGAAACUGUGAUUUAUCACUGGGCCCAGCACCUAGGUUAUGUGACUCUCCUCUCCUGCCUGGGCUGUACAUACAUUGCUAUUGUGACAUGUGUCUGGGUGCAAUGUCUGAGUCAUUUGAUUCUCCUGUAUGGGCUCUGCCCGCAGGGACAUUAUUACCUAUCAUGUCAUUAGUCACCUAGGUGAUGUGAAUCACAUUUUCUGCCUGGUCCCUGCCAGAAAGAAUAAUAGUGACUUACCACUGGACCCAGCAUCUUAGUGAUGUGACUCACCUCUUUUACCUGGGCCUUGCGUAUUUUUGGUAUUGGACAUAUCGCUGGGUCCAACACCUAGGAGAUAAGAGACUUUUACCUUGACCCUGACUAGAGGGGGCUUAUUGUAUUUCUCAGCAUCUAUCUUGUAGGGGUUGUGCCUUUUUCCUGCCUGUUCUCUGCCCUCAGGGAAGAUUGUGACUGGGUCUGGCAACCAGGUCAUGUGUUUCUCCAGCCUGGGCCUAGUCCACUGGGAAGCAGUGUGACAAUAUUGCUGGUCCCAGAAACUAGGUGAUGUGAUUCUCCUGCCUAGUCUUUGCUUUCAAGGAAGAUUGCAACAUAUUCCUGUCCCAGCAUCCAGGUGAUAUAACAAUACUGCUUGGACUCUUCCCUCAGGAGUUAUUGUGACACAUUGCUGGACUCAGCAUUUAGGUGAUGUGAUGUGCCUCUUCUCUUCUGCCUGGGCCCUGCCAAUAAAAGGGGAUUGUAAUGAAUCACUGGACCCAGAACCUAGCUGACUGUUGAGGUUCUGAAUCUCACAUCCAAAGAAAGUUGAAGAUGGAAAACUGAUUCAUACAUGGAUUCGGUUCACAGGAGGGAUUGAGACAAUUCUGGAAGCCCAGCACCUAGGUGAUGUGACUUUCAUCUUUUGUUUGGACCGUGUGCACAAAAGGAAGAGUGGCUUAUCACUGGACCUCACACACAGGAGAGAUUGUGACAUAUCUCUGGAACCAGAACCUUAGUGAUGUGACUCUUCUCUCCUGCUGAAGCCAUGCCCACACAAGGGAAAGUGACUUAUCACUGGGCCCAGCACACAGGUGAUGUAAUUCAUCUGCCUUGUUUUUGUACCCAAGAGCCAUUGUAUUCUAUCUCUGGGCCCAUCAUUUAAAUGAUGUGACUAUCCUUUUCUUCCUGAGCCCUAUUCACAGGGAAAAUAGUGACACAUCUGUGGGGUUCUCACCGAAAUGAUGUGACUCUCCUGCCUGGGCUCGCCUCUCAAGGGAAUUGUGACAUAUUACUGGACCAAGCACCUAGGUGAUGUGGCUCUGACAAAGGAGAAAUUGUGAUGUACCACUGUUUCCAGCACCUAAGAGAUUUGACUCUCUUUUCAUGAGCCCUGCAUUUAUUGUGUAUUGUGACAUGUGGCUUGUGACAUUCCUCAUACAGCACCCAGGUGAUGCGAC